CGACACUAACAAUCCUUCGGGUGCGUUAAUGGGCGUCGAGCGGCGGACGGGUGAGUAAUGCCUAGGAAAUUGCCUUGAUGUGGGGGAUAACCAUUGGAAACGAUGGCUAAUACCGCAUAAUGCCUACGGGCCAAAGAGGGGGACCUUCGGGCCUCUCGCGUCAAGAUAUGCCUAGGUGGGAUUAGCUAGUUGGUGAGGUAAUGGCUCACCAAGGCGACGAUCCCUAGCUGGUCUGAGAGGAUGAUCAGCCACACUGGAACUGAGACACGGUCCAGACUCCUACGGGAGGCAGCAGUGGGGAAUAUUGCACAAUGGGCGAAAGCCUGAUGCAGCCAUGCCGCGUGUAUGAAGAAGGCCUUCGGGUUGUAAAGUACUUUCAGUUGUGAGGAAGGGGGURYYGUUAAUAGCRRYAUCUCUUGACGUUAGCAACAGAAGAAGCACCGGCUAACUCCGUGCCAGCAGCCGCGGUAAUACGGAGGGUGCGAGCGUUAAUCGGAAUUACUGGGCGUAAAGCGCAUGCAGGUGGUUCAUUAAGUCAGAUGUGAAAGCCCGGGGCUCAACCUCGGAACUGCAUUUGAAACUGGUGAACUAGAGUACUGUAGAGGGGGGUAGAAUUUCAGGUGUAGCGGUGAAAUGCGUAGAGAUCUGAAGGA
rnacentral:rRNA from 1 species